UCAAACAAUUAAUUCUUCUUCUGACCCUUAAUUUACACAGUUUCUCUCCUUCUACCAUUCCUCGUUCAAUUCAAUCUCUCUCUUUAUUUCUUCUACCUCUCACCAUAAUUUAAUUAAACCCCAUCUCGAUCCAAUUAUAUAUAAUGGCCUUAGACUUUCAAAACCAACCACCACAUACCAUUUUACAUAUCCAUGUUACUGGUGUUGCUACUGCUCAAUAUGAUGCCCAUCACCGCCGCAUAGCUGCCGCGCGCCACCUCUCUUUUCCACCCUCUUAAGUAUUUCAAGAGAAUAUCAAAGGAAUUCUUGGAAAAGGAGAAUCAUGAGCAGGAGAAACGUACCAACGCUGGAUCUCAAGUUGAAUUUGUCACCGCCACCAAGAAGAAACCCACAUGCCUUGUCCCCCAGUCGAUCGUCGACGGUGUCUCCUACAUCGCCGCCGACUUCUUGUGUGUCAUCGGAAGUGAACCAGGACGAGUCCCAGCGGUACUCCACCAGCCCGGAGGCCACAUCCAUGAUGCUUGUGGGUUGCCCUCGGUGUCUCAUGUACGUCAUGCUUGCAGAAGAAGACCCCAGAUGCCCCAAAUGCAAAAGCUCUGUUUUGCUUGAUGUCAUCCAUGAUAAGAACAUCACCACCAAGAAAACAAAGAAGGGCUAAACAUUUAUACAUAUUUCUCUGUCUAUUAUCUACAUCUAUUAUCUUCCCGAGUAGCACUAUUUGAGCUCCAUUUCUAACUCAAUAGAUUCAAGAAAGAGUGGAGCCUGAAUAGUGCUGCUUGCUUAUUAUUUAUCGCAUUAGUAAGUGAAUCAGUUCUGGUAUGGAGCUGGUUCCUGCCUACAUGUUUUCAGUUUUUAGAAUUUCACUGCUGUUUACUUCCAAUCACAGCAUCAGUAACUCUUGGAAUUGGAUAUCAUAUUUAAAAGUUACUAUUCAAAAAA